rnacentral:rRNA from 1 species
CCCGACUGCUAUCAGAAUAGGACUAAGCCAUGCGAGUCAACGUAGCAAUACGUGGCAUACGGCUCAGUAACACGUAGUCAACAUGCCCAGGGGACGUGGAUAACCUCGGGAAACUGAGGAUAAACCGCGAUAGGUCAUAAUAUCUGGAAUGAUUUAUGGCUAAAAUCUAUAUGGCCCCUGGAUUGGACUGCGGCCGAUCAGGCUGUUGGUGAGGUAAUGGCCCACCAAACCUAAAACCGGUACGGGCUCUGAGAGGAGAAGCCCGGAGAUGGGCACUGAGACAAGGGCCCAGGCCCUAUGGGGCGCAGCAGGCGCGAAAACUCUGCAAUAAGCGAAAGCUUGACAGGGUUAUUCUGAGUGAUUUCCGCUAAGGAAAUCUUUUGGCACCUCUAAAAAUGGUGCAGAAUAAGGGGUGGGCAAGCCUGGUGUCAGCCGCCGCGGUAAUACCAGCACCCCGAGUGGUCGGGACGAUUAUUGGGCCUAAAGCAUCCGUAGCCGGUUCUACAAGUCUUCCGUUAAAUCCACCUGCUUAACAGAUGGGCUGCGGAGGAUACUAUGGAGCUAGGAGGCGGGAGAGGCAAGCGGUACUUAGUGGGUAGGGGUAAAAUCCGUUGAUCCAUUGAAGACCACCAGUGGCGAAGGCGGCUUGCCAGAACGCACUCGACGGUGAGGGAUGAAAGCUGGGGGAGCAAACCGGAUUAGAUACCCGGGUAGUCCCAGCUGUAAACGAUGCAGACUCGGUGAUGAAUAGGCUUCGUGCCUCUUCAGUGCCGCAGGGAAGCCGUUAAGUCUGCCGCCUGGGGAG